ensembl:lncRNA novel transcript
CGGCGGGCGGCGAGCGGCGCGCACAAUCCUCGCUCGGCUGCGGCUCCCGGGUGUCCCAGGCCCGGCCGGUAAGCAGAGCAUGGCGGGUGCGGGCCCGAAGCGGCGCGCGCUAGCGGCCCCGGUGGCCGAGGAGAAGGAAGAGGCGCGGGAGAAGAUGAUGGCCGCCAAGCGCGCGGACGGCGCGGCGCCGGCAGGCGAGGGCGAGGGCGUGACCCUGCAGGGGAACAUCACGCUACUCAAGGGCGUGGCCGUCAUCGUGGUCGCCAUCAUGAGCUCGGGCAUCUUCGUGACGCCCACGGGCGUGCUCAAGGAGGCAGGCUCGCCGGGGCUGGCGCUGGUGGUGUGGGCCGCGUGCGGCGUCUUCUCCAUCGUGGGCGCGCUCUGCUACGCGGAGCUGGGCACCACCAUCUCCAAAUCGGGCGGCGACUACGCCUACAUGCUGGACGUCUACGGCUCGCUGCCCGCCUUCCUCAAGCUCUGGAUCGAGCUGCUCAUCAUCCGGCCUUCAUCGCAGUACAUCGUGGCCCUGGUCUUCGCCACCUACCUGCUCAAGCCGCUCUUCCCCACCUGCCCGGUGCCCGAGGAGGCAGCCAAGCUCGUAGCCUGCCACUCCGUGCAACUGAUAGUGCAUCAGCCGACCCAGGUAAUUUAAAAUAUUCUUCAUCCAGAGAUAGAGGUGGUUCUUCCUCUUACGGACUGCAACCUUCAAAUUCAGCUGUGGUGUCUCGGCAAAGGCACGAUGAUACCAGAGUCCACGCUGACAUACAGAAUGACGAAAAGGAGAGAUCAAUGUCUUAUUGUGAUGAGUCUCGACUGUCAAAUCUUCUUCAGAGGAUCACCCGGGAAAACGACCGAGACCGAAGAUUGGCUACUGUAAAGCAGUUGAAAGAAUUUAUUCAGCAACCAGAAAAUAAGCUGGUACUAGUUAAACAAUUGGAUAUCUUGGCUGCUGUACAUGAUGUGCUUAAUGAAAGUAGCAAAUUGCUUCAGGAGUUGAGACAGGAGGGAGCUUGCUGUCUCGGCCUUCUUUGUGCUUCUCUGAGCUAUGAGGCUGAGAAGAUCUUCAAGUGGAUUUUUAGCAAAUUUAGCUCAUCUGCAAAAGAUGAAGUUAAACUCCUCUACUUAUGUGCCACCUACAAAGCACUAGAGACUGUAGGAGAAAAGAAAGCCUUUUCAUCUGUAAUGCAGCUUGUAAUGACCAGCCUGCAGUCAAUUCUUGAAAAUGUGGAUACACCAGAAUUGCUUUGCAAAUGUGUUAAGUGCAUUCUUUUGGUGGCUCGAUGUUACCCUCAUAUUUUCAGCACUAAUUUUAGGGAUACAGUUGGUAUAUUAGUUGGAUGGCAUAGAGAUCAUACUCAGAAACCUUCGCUCACGCAGCAGGUAUCUGGGUGGUUGCAGAGUUUGGAGCCAUUUUGGGUAGCUGAUCUUGCAUUUUCUACGCCUCUACUUGGUCAGUUUCUAGAAGACAUGGAAGCAUAUGCUGAGGACCUCAGCCAUGUGGCCUCUGGGGAAUCAGUGGAUGAAGACGUCCCUCCUCCAUCAGUGUCAUUACCAAAGCUGGCUGCGCUUCUCCGGGUAUUUAGUACUGUGGUGAGGAGCACUGGGGAAAGCCUCAGCCCAAUUCGGGCCCUCCAAUUACUGAGGCAUACGUAACAGAUGUUCUGUACAGAGUAAUGAGAUGUGUGACGGCUGCAAACCAGGUGUUUUUUUCUGAGGCUGUGUUGACAGCUGCUAAUGAGCGUGUUGGUGUUUUGCUCGGCAGCUUGGAUCCUAGCAUGACUAUACAUUGUGACAUGGUCAUUACAUAUGGAUUAGACCAACUGGAGAAUUGCCAGACUUGUGGUACCGAUUAUAUCAUCUCAGUCUUGAAUUUACUCACGCUGAUUGUUGAACAGAUAAAUACGAAACUGCCAUCAUCAUUUGUAGAAAAACUGUUUAUACCAUCAUCUAAACUACUAUUCUUGCGUUAUCAUAAAGAAAAAGAGGUUGUUGCUGUAGCCCGUGCUGUUUAUCAAGCAGUGCUCAGCUUGAAGAAUAUUCCUGUUUUGGAGACUGCCUAUAAGUUAAUAUUGGGAGAAAUGACUUGUGCCCUAAACAACCUCCUGCACAGUCUGCAGCUUCCUGAGUCCUGUUCUGAAAUAAAACAUGAGGCUUUUAAGAAUCAUGUGUUCAAUGUAGACAAUGCAAAAUUUGUAGUUAAAUUUGACCUCAAUUGACUACAAAAUUUGUAGUUAAAUUUGACUACAAUUGGAAAUGCCAAAAACUCACUAAUAGGGGUGAGUCUUUAAUUGUAAUGACUUUGUUUUAUCCACAUUACAUAUUUAUGUAUUUCACUGUUAUGUCAACAUGUCUGCAGAAUCACUGUAUGUAACAAACAGCCAUAUUUAAGACAUGCCUGGAUAAAUAAAAUUGGUAGGAAUGUUUUCUUGCCAUUAUAUUUAACUUUUCUUCUUUUUCCUUGACAAAUCUUGAUAAGUUUUUUUAUAUUAGUUUUAUUUUCUAGAAAAUGUCUUAUGAAUUUCUCCUAUUUGCUCUAGCAUGCUUACAGAAAAUGUCAGUGUUUCUUACAGCUCAAAUUUGUAUAGUUGUUUUAAAAUGCGGUCUCUUUCUUCUUCCCCUGGUACUUUUUUCUUUCUGUGUACUGAAGUUAGUUCUUAUACAUGGUCUUAUAUUUUGGCUGUCUGUUUUUCCCUAGGAACAUUCAUACAGGUUGAAUAUUCCUUAUCUGAAAUACUUGGGACUGGAAGUGUUUUCGAUUUUGGAUUUUGGAAUAC